rnacentral:rRNA from 1 species
AGUCGAACGAUGACGUCACUGCUUGCAGUGAUUGAUUAGUGGCGAACGGGUGAGUAACACGUGAGGAACUUGCCCAUGAGCGGGGGACAACAUUCGGAAACGGAUGCUAAUACCCCAUAGGUGGAUUGGUCGCAUGACUAAUUCAUUAAAGGUGGCUCUGCUACCACUCAUGGAUAGCCUCGCGGCGUAUUAGCUAGUUGGUAAGGUAAUGGCUUACCAAGGCAGUGAUACGUAGCCGACUUGAGAGGGUGAUCGGCCACACUGGGACUGAGACACGGCCCAGACUCCUACGGGAGGCAGCAGUAGGGAAUCUUCCACAAUGGGUGCAAACCUGAUGGAGCAAUGCCGCGUGAGUGAAGAAGGCCUUCGGAUCGUAAAGCUCUGUUGUUAGAGAAGAACACGUGCUAGGUAACUACUAGCGCCUUGACGGUAUCUAACCAGAAAGUCACGGCUAACUACGUGCCAGCAGCCGCGGUAAUACGUAGGUGACAAGCGUUGUCCGGAUUUAUUGGGCGUAAAGGGAGCGCAGGCGGUCUGUUUAGUCUAAUGUGAAAGCCCACGGCUUAACCGUGGAACGGCAUUGGAAACUGACAGACUUGAAUGUAGAAGAGGAAAAUGGAAUUCCAAGUGUAGCGGUGGAAUGCGUAGAUAUUUGGAGGAACACCAGUGGCGAAGGCGAUUUUCUGGUCUAACAUUGACGCUGAGGCUCGAAAGCGUGGGGAGCGAACAGGAUUA